rnacentral:misc_RNA from 1 species
GAUGAAGAACGUAGCGAAAUGCGAUAAGUAAUGUGAAUUGCAGAAUUCAGUGAAUCAUCGAAUCUUUGAACGCACAUUGCGCCCGCUAGUAUUCUGGCGGGCAUGCCUGUUCGAGCGUCAUUUCAACCCUCAAGCCCUGCUUGGUGUUGGGGCCCUACAGCUGCUGUAGGCCCUGAAAUGGAGUGGCGGGCUCGCUACAACUCCGAGCGUAGUAGAAUCCUAUCUCGCUAGGGAAGUGCAGCGUGCUCCGGCCGUUAAAGAACCCAUCUUUAACCCAAGGUUGACCUCGGAUCAGGUAGGAAUACCCGCUGAACUUAAGCAUAUCAAUAAGCGGAGGA